UAGGGAAUCUUCCACAAUGGACGCAAGUCUGAUGGAGCAACGCCGCGUGAGUGAAGAAGGGUUUCGGCUCGUAAAACUCUGUUGUUAAAGAAGAACAUAUCUGAGAGUAACUGUUCAGGUAUUGACGGUAUUUAACCAGAAAGCCACGGCUAACUACGUGCCAGCAG
rnacentral:rRNA from 1 species